GAGCGCGUAGCUCACAUGGUAGAGCGCUUCCCUGACGCGGAAGAGGCAGCAGGUUCAAUCCCUGCCGCGCUCACCA
rnacentral:tRNA from 1 species